rnacentral:rRNA from 1 species
CAUUAUUGAACUAAGUCGGAUUCGAUGCUGGCCCUUAACCCGGGCAUGUGCUCGUCCUUCAUUUUUCUAACCUUCUUUAUGUGCACAUUUGUAUGCCCCUGAGUAACGAGCGCCUCUCGCAGCAAUGCGGUUUGCUUGGGACUGACGGCCUAGUCGUCUUUCCUGCAAUGCUCUCUGGGGGCUACGUUUUUAUAUACAAGUCAGUUAUAGAAUGUCUUUUAAUGACUGUUGCCUAGCGCAUGGUCUUAAACAAUUACAACUUUCAGCAACGGAUCUCUUGGCUCUCCCAUCGAUGAAGAGCGCAGCGAAAUGCGAUAAGUAAUGUGAAUUGCAGAAUUCAGUGAAUCAUCGAAUCUUUGAACGCACCUUGCGCUCCUUGGUAUUCCGAGGAGCAUGCCUGUUUGAGUGUCAUUAAAUUCUCAACCUUCCCAGCUUUUACCGGCCGGAGGAGGAUUGGAUUGUGGGGGUUGCGGGCCUCGAUUUAGAGGUCGGCUCUCCUUAAACGCAUUAGCGGAACGUCUCGCGGGACCGUCACUUGGUGUGAUAAUUAUCUACGCCUCAUGACUGCGAUCGCCUCUGGUUCAGCUUCUAACCGUCCGUUCGCUCGGACAGCUUUUUGACAAUUUGACCUCAAAUCAGGUAGGACUACCC